UACGGAGGAUGCAAGCGUUAUCCGGAAUGAUUGGGCGUAAAGCGUCCGCAGGUGGCUAUGUAAGUCUGCUGUUAAAGAGUCUAGCUCAACUAGAUAAGAGCAGUGGCAACUACAAGGCUAGAGUACGUUCGGGGCAGAGGGAAUUCCUGGUGUAGCGGUGAAAUGCGUAGAGAUCAGGAGGAACACCCAUGGCGAAGGCAGCUCUCUGGUCGACCUCUGACGCUGAGACGCGAAAGCGUGGGGAGCGAACGGG
rnacentral:rRNA from 1 species